rnacentral:rRNA from 1 species
UUAAUUAAGAGUUUGAUCCUGGCUCAGGACGAACGCUGGCGGCACGCUUAACACAUGCAAGUCGAACGAGAGAAGAGAAGCUUGCUUUUCUGAUCUAGUGGCGGACGGGUGAGUAACACGUGAGCAAUCUGCCUUUCAGAGGGGGAUACCGAUUGGAAACGAUCGUUAAUACCGCAUAAUAUAAUUGAACCGCAUGAUUUGAUUAUCAAAGAUUUAUCGCUGAAAGAUGAGCUCGCGUCUGAUUAGCUAGUUGGUAAGGUAACGGCUUACCAAGGCGACGAUCAGUAGCCGGACUGAGAGGUUGAUCGGCCACAUUGGGACUGAGACACGGCCCAGACUCCUACGGGAGGCAGCAGUGGGGAAUAUUGCACAAUGGAGGAAACUCUGAUGCAGCGAUGCCGCGUGAGGGAAGAAGGUUUUAGGAUUGUAAACCUCUGUCUUCAGGGACGAAAAAAGACGGUACCUGAGGAGGAAGCUCCGGCUAACUACGUGCCAGCAGCCGCGGUAAUACGUAGGGAGCGAGCGUUGUCCGGAAUUACUGGGUGUAAAGGGAGCGUAGGCGGGAUCGCAAGUCAGAUGUGAAAACUAUGGGCUUAACCCAUAAACUGCAUUUGAAACUGUGGUUCUUGAGUGAAGUAGAGGUAAGCGGAAUUCCUAGUGUAGCGGUGAAAUGCGUAGAUAUUAGGAGGAACAUCAGUGGCGAAGGCGGCUUACUGGGCUUUAACUGACGCUGAGGCUCGAAAGCGUGGGGAGCAAACAGGAUUAGAUACCCUGGUAGUCCACGCCGUAAACGAUGAUUACUAGGUGUGGGGGGACUGACCCCUUCCGUGCCGCAGCAAACGCAAUAAGUAAUCCACCUGGGGAGUACGACCGCAAGGUUGAAACUCAAAGGAAUUGACGGGGGCCCGCACAAGCAGUGGAGUAUGUGGAUUAAUUCGAAGCAACGCGAAGAACCUUACCAGGUCUUGACAUCGUAUGCAUAGCUCAGAGAUGAGUGAAAUCUCUUCGGAGACAUAUAGACAGGUGGUGCAUGGUUGUCGUCAGCUCGUGUCGUGAGAUGUUGGGUUAAGUCCCGCAACGAGCGCAACCCUUACUGUUAGUUGCUACGCAAGAGCACUCUAGCAGGACUGCCGUUGACAAAACGGAGGAAGGUGGGGAUGACGUCAAAUCAUCAUGCCCCUUAUGACCUGGGCCUCACACGUACUACAAUGGCUGUUAACAGAGGGAUGCAAAGCCGCGAGGUGGAGCGAACCCCUAAAAGCAGUCUUAGUUCGGAUUGUAGGCUGCAACCCGCCUACAUGAAGUCGGAAUUGCUAGUAAUCGCAGAUCAGCAUGCUGCGGUGAAUACGUUCCCGGGCCUUGUACACACCGCCCGUCACGCCAUGGGAGUCGGUAACACCCGAAGCCUGUAGUCUAACCGCAAGGAGGACGCAGUCGAAGGUGGGAUUGAUGACUGGGGUGAAGUCGUAACAAGGUAGCCGUAUCGGAAGGUGCGGCUGGAUCACCUCCUUU